GCCAUUCAAUUUCUCAUCUCUCUCUCGUGGCAAUAGGUGAUAUAUGCCAUAUUUUUACCUUGUUGUCAAUCUUCCAUCUUCCUUCAUCAAGAUUAAAAGAAACCCCAAACCAAAAUAAAACCCCAAAAAUCAAAAUUUUCUCUCUCCUCUGAUUUUAUACCCCGUACUGUGCAUGUUCAAUUUCUUCAUUCUAGAGUCGGAAUUUGCCCAAACUUAUUGCAUGAAAGUUGUAGAUCUCGAAAAGUUAUUGAACUUAGACCCAAAAAUCACUCGAUUCGGAGUUCGGAACUAUGAGUUACGGCCUUUGCAAGUUUGGUGUUGUAACCUUCAUUUCUCUCUCCUCUGUUUUUCGAUAAUCUGUUGCCUCCAUUUUCUCCAACAUGCAAUCCAAAUUUGCUCCUUGUUUCUUCAUUAAAGUUGUAGAUCUCUUCGAGUUAUUGAAUUUAGGCACAAAAAUCACCCAAUUUGGAAUUGUGAUCUAGAAGAUAUGCCCUUUGCAAGUUCAGCUUGCUGCUGUACUUUGUGUUGCGUUGCUGCCGUGUUUGGUUUUGUUUACCAACGUUCUUGUUGCUAGGUUGUUGCCUUGUUACUGCCAUUGGUUGAUACUCCUAUCGAUUGGAAGGAUUAAGCUAAGUUUCUUCCUCCUUUUUCAAUUCCACGAAUUCAAAUACCUCAUGCAAAUGAGUUUUAUUUCAAUUUCUGAUUUUACAAAUGAAUUGAGUUCUAAGUCUUGCUUUUGAUAUGCAAAAAAAUCAGUUUGUGGUAGUUUUUUAAACUUAAAGAUUGAAUCUUCCUCUUUAUUUAGUAGAUUAAAGCUAAGAAUAUGUAUUAAUCCUUCUUAUGUCAUUUUAUAAAAUAUGAUUUUUAUCAAUUAUGUUCUUGAUAAGUUCUCUAUAAAUUCAGACUUGGGAUUAAUUAAAAUUAGAGAUUAAUAUUGUGAGAUUGGCUUUCGAAUGAUAGUUGAUUAUUGUUAUUAUUGAGGAAUGAAGUUGGCUUGUAAGGAUGUGUAAUUAGUUGAUAAAAGAGUUUAGAAAGUAUAAGAGAGUCAAUUUAUCUUUUCUGAAUUGUAGUGUUUGAGAAUGAUUGUUAAUUAUUGGUAUUGUUGUUGAGGUGUAUUAUGGUUAUCGAUCUUUAUGGAGCUUGGAUAUUGAAUAUAAAUCGAAGUGGUAACGAGGAUCGGGCGAAGAGAUCUAUCCACGGCAAGCCCUUCAACACCACAUGCAAGUCCUUCUCACUCAAAGGAAUGACAUCCUUUUUGUUCAUUUGAUCUUAAACCACAAGUGGGAAUGAAAUUCAACACGUUGGAAGAGGGAAUUACUUUUUAUGAAAGUUAUGCAAAGAUAUGCGGCUUUACAAGUCGUUUAUCUACUGUAAUAAAGAGAAAAUUAGAUAAAGUGAUUAAUUCUAAGUAUUGUAUGUGCAAUAAAGAAGGGUUUAGAGAGAAUUCGAAAACUGAUUUUGAGUGUAAAAGAAAAAGAGCAAUGGUUAGAUUUGGUUGUCA